GAUGGUAGCUCAAUGGUAGAGCAGUUGACUUUUAAUCAAUUGGUUGUGGGUUCGAGUCCCACCCGUCCC
rnacentral:tRNA from 1 species